UGGAAGUGCAGGAGACGACUCUGGUGCAGCAAUUAAGAAAGUUAGUGAGGUGACAGCACCAGAAAAAGCGCGCACAAGGUUUGCUGUGUCUUCAGGAUUACUGUUAUUAAGCAGUGUAAAAGUCUGAAAGUGUCAGGUGCAGAUUCGAGCCUCGCAAAUGUUGUCUAAAGGUGAAAAAGACGUGCAAACUGCGCGUCUGCUGCCGGUGAUGUGGGUUUUAAGAGAAGACUUUCUGAAGAAGAGAAGAAUGAAGACUGACAAACUGAUGAAGUGAUGCAGUUAGUUUUGGUAUCAUGUCCAUGGCCAUGCAUCUCCACUGCCGAGAGAGACCGAGAGCACUGCAGCGUGGGAGGGCUGUGACAGAGAUGACUCAGCUCUCUGUUGCCGGGGCUGAGGUGCGGGGCUGAGAAACCGAUUCACCACAGGACCAUCAGGCUGGUUUCCCCCAACCUGGCCAGGCGUAGGAAAACCACCUCGGCUCAUCUGCUGAAUUGUUGCAGAGUUAGGCUGGGAUCAUGACAUAAUCGUCAUGAGAUGGGAAGGCUGGUGACCGCAGGAAGCGACAAAAGAGGUGGCGUUGUGUGUUGUGGCUGGCAGCUGCUGGUUCUUGGCAAAAUUUAGGCAAAAAAAGUGCUGUUAAAUCACCACAGGGAAUCAUUUACUCAUAUGUUGGAAGCAAGAACAAAUUCAAGAGGUUUCAAUGGGCAGUAAGUAAGACAUUUGUCACAUUGUACCAAAAUAAUCAUGUAACACCUGUGGGAAGCUGAGGGUUUUUUUUGUUUUGUUUUGUUUUUGGCUUACCAAACUGUCCUUCCGCUUGUGGGUUGUUUUGGAGCAAAAUCUCCACACCCAGUGAAGUCAUGCUGAUGCUGUUGAAAUCCCAGUUUGUGGUAGCACAGCUGGUAACGCACAAAAAGAUUAAUGUAAAGUCAAGCUUAGAAAACCAGUUGAAAGUGCUGACAUGGGCUUUUUACACUGUAU